UACGUAGGGUGCGAGCGUUGUCCGGAAUUAUUGGGCGUAAAGAGCUCGUAGGCGGUGUGUCACGUCGGCCGUGAAAACCUGCAGCUUAACUGUGGGCGUGCGGUCGAUACGGGCAUCACUGGAGUUCGGCAGGGGAGACUGGAAUUCCUGGUGUAGCGGUGAAAUGCGCAGAUAUCAGGAGGAACACCGAGUGGCGAAGGCAGGUCUCUGGGCAUUAACUGACGCUGAGGAGCGAAAGCAUGGGGGAGCGAACAGG
rnacentral:rRNA from 1 species